rnacentral:rRNA from 1 species
CCCUUAGAUGUUCUGGGCUGCACGCGUGCUACAAUGGCGCUUGCAACAAGUCUUGCCAACCCGAUAGGGUGGGCGGAUCUUUGAAGAGGCGUCGUGAUCGGGACAGUUGAUUGCAAUUAUUCGACUCGAACGAGGAAUUCCUUGUAAUCGCGAUUCAUCAUAUCGCGCUGAAUACGUCCCUGCCCUUUGUACACACCGCCCGUCGCUCCUACCGAUUGAGCGAUCCGGUGAAUGUUUUGGACUGGCGUCAGAAGCGGUUCGCUCCUGACACUACGAAAUUUUGUAAACCUUAUCGCUUAGAGGAAGGAAAAGUCGUAACA